GGCCUGGCCGGGCGGUCUGCCUAACGGUACGUACUGUCUGGCUGGGUCUUACCUCUCGGUGAGCCGGCAUGCCCUUCACUGGGUGUGUCGAGGAACCGAGACUUUUACCUUGAGAAAAUUAGAGUGUUCAAAGCAGGCCUAUGCCCGAAUACAUUAGCAUGGAAUAAUAAAAUAGGACGUGCGGACCUAUUUUGUUGGUUUCUAGGAACCGCCGUA
rnacentral:rRNA from 1 species